rnacentral:rRNA from 1 species
AUUGAACGCUGGCGGCAUGCCUUACACAUGCAAGUCGAACGGCAGCACGGGUGCUUGCACCUGGUGGCGAGUGGCGAACGGGUGAGUAAUACAUCGGAACAUGUCCUGUAGUGGGGGAUAGCCCGGCGAAAGCCGGAUUAAUACCGCAUACGAUCUACGGAUGAAAGCGGGGGACCUUCGGGCCUCGCGCUAUAGGGUUGGCCGAUGGCUGAUUAGCUAGUUGGUGGGGUAAAGGCCUACCAAGGCGACGAUCAGUAGCUGGUCUGAGAGGACGACCAGCCACACUGGGACUGAGACACGGCCCAGACUCCUACGGGAGGCAGCAGUGGGGAAUUUUGGACAAUGGGCGAAAGCCUGAUCCAGCAAUGCCGCGUGUGUGAAGAAGGCCUUCGGGUUGUAAAGCACUUUUGUCCGGAAAGAAAUCCUUGGCUCUAAUACAGUCGGGGGAUGACGGUACCGGAAGAAUAAGCACCGGCUAACUACGUGCCAGCAGCCGCGGUAAUACGUAGGGUGCGAGCGUUAAUCGGAAUUACUGGGCGUAAAGCGUGCGCAGGCGGUUUGCUAAGACCGAUGUGAAAUCCCCGGGCUCAACCUGGGAACUGCAUUGGUGACUGGCAGGCUAGAGUAUGGCAGAGGGGGGUAGAAUUCCACGUGUAGCAGUGAAAUGCGUAGAGAUGUGGAGGAAUACCGAUGGCGAAGGCAGCCCCCUGGGCCAAUACUGACGCUCAUGCACGAAAGCGUGGGGAGCAAACAGGAUUAGAUACCCUGGUAGUCCACGCCCUAAACGAUGUCAACUAGUUGUUGGGGAUUCAUUUCCUUAGUAACGUAGCUAACGCGUGAAGUUGACCGCCUGGGGAGUACGGUCGCAAGAUUAAAACUCAAAGGAAUUGACGGGGACCCGCACAAGCGGUGGAUGAUGUGGAUUAAUUCGAUGCAACGCGAAAAACCUUACCUACCCUUGACAUGGUCGGAAUCCCGCUGAGAGGUGGGAGUGCUCGAAAGAGAACCGGCGCACAGGUGCUGCAUGGCUGUCGUCAGCUUGUGUCGUGAGAUGUUGGGUUAAGUCCCGCAACGAGCGCAACCCUUGUCCUUAGUUGCUACGCAAGAGCACUCUAAGGAGACUGCCGGUGACAAACCGGAGGAAGGUGGGGAUGACGUCAAGUCCUCAUGGCCCUUAUGGGUAGGGCUUCACACGUCAUACAAUGGUCGGAACAGAGGGUUGCCAACCCGCGAGGGGGAGCUAAUCCCAGAAAACCGAUCGUAGUCCGGAUUGCACUCUGCAACUCGAGUGCAUGAAGCUGGAAUCGCUAGUAAUCGCGGAUCAGCAUGCCGCGGUGAAUACGUUCCCGGGUCU